rnacentral:rRNA from 1 species
GACGAACCGUGCGAACGUUAUUCGGAAUCACUGGGCUUAAAGCGCGUGUAGGCGGGCCGGCACGUCGGUCGCUGAAAUCCCCCGGCUCAACCGGGGAAGGGGCGCCGAUACGACCGGCCUGGAGGGGCGUAGGGGGACCUGGAACUUCCGGUGGAGCGGUGAAAUGCGUUGAGAUCGGAAGGAACGCCCGUGGCGAAAGCGAGGUCCUGGACGCCAUCUGACGCUGAGACGCGAAAGCCAGGGGA